GUACUACUCCCUCCGCCCUGAAUUACUUGUCGCGGAAAUGGAUAGAGAUGGAUGUAUCUAGAACUAAAAAUACGUCUAGAUACAUCCAUUUCCGUGACAAGUAAUUCGGGACGGAUGGAUGUAUCCA
rfam:Triticum aestivum genome assembly, contig: Triticum_aestivum_CS42_TGACv1_scaffold_081015_1DS